GACGAACGCUGGCGGCGUGCUUAACACAUGCAAGUCGAGCGUAAAGGCCCUGCUUUUGUGGGGUGCUCGAGUGGCGAACGGGUGAGUAACACGUGAGUAACCUGCCCUUGACUUUGGGAUAACUUCAGGAAACUGGGGCUAAUACCGGAUAGGAGCUCCUGCUGCAUGGUGGGGGUUGGAAAGUUUCGGCGGUUGGGGAUGGACUCGCGGCUUAUCAGCUUGUUGGUGGGGUAGUGGCUUACCAAGGCUUUGACGGGUAGCCGGCCUGAGAGGGUGACCGGCCACAUUGGGACUGAGAUACGGCCCAGACUCCUACGGGAGGCAGCAGUGGGGAAUAUUGCACAAUGGGCGGAAGCCUGAUGCAGCAACGCCGCGUGCGGGAUGACGGCCUUCGGGUUGUAAACCGCUUUCGCCUGUGACGAAGCGUGAGUGACGGUAAUGGGUAAAGAAGCACCGGCUAACUACGUG
rnacentral:rRNA from 1 species